GCGUGCGUAGCUCAGUGGCAGAGCACUCGCUUCACAUGCGAGGGGUCCCUGGUUCGAAUCCAGGCGCGCGCA
rnacentral:tRNA from 1 species